GGGACACGUGGUAUCCUGUCUGAAUAUGGGGGGACCAUCCUCCAAGGCUAAAUACUCCUGACUGACCGAUAGUGAACCAGUACCGUGAGGGAAAGGCGAAAAGAACCCCGGCGAGGGGAGUGAAAAAGAACCUGAAACCGUGUACGUACAAGCAGUGGGAGCACCUUCGGGUGUGACUGCGUACCUUUUGUAUAAUGGGUCAGCGACUUAUAUUCUGUAGCAAGGUUAACCGUAUAGGGGAGCCGCAGGGAAACCGAGUCUUAACUGGGCGUUAAGUUGCAGGGUAUAGACCCGAAACCCGGUGAUCUAGCCAUGGGCAGGUUGAAGGUUGGGUAACACUAACUGGAGGACCGAACCGACUAAUGUUGAAAAAUUAGCGGAUGACUUGUGGCUGGGGGUGAAAGGCCAAUCAAACCGGGAGAUAGCUGGUUCUCCCCGAAAGCUAUUUAGGUAGCGCCUCGUGAACUCAUCUUCGGGGGUAGAGCACUGUUUCGGCUAGGGGGUCAUCCCGACUUACCAACCC
rnacentral:rRNA from 1 species